ACAGUCCGACCGUUCCCGCCACGCAGUAGCAGUACCUUUGAAGGAGUUCGAACGUUUCAUAUCUCUGGAUCUCUAAAUCCAUCUCUGCGCCGGAAAUCAGAUCGUGAAAGUACUCGGCGGGAAUUCUGUACUGCUCUACCGUGUGAUGAAAUGCCGGAAGAAUGCGGCUUCCGCCGUACUUUCCGGCAAGCGCCUCAUCCAACACCGUUCGAUACUGCUCGAGUCCGCGACUCUUGUCCUUCACUGCGCCUUCCGAAUCCGAGAUGUCGUCGGCAUGCCGCAUGAAUGCGUAGAGGGCGCACAGGGCGUCGCGCUUGGCCGGAGGAAGCAACGCGAAGCCGUAAUAGAAGUUCCGGGCAGCGGUCUUUGCCAGGUUCCGGCAGUGUUCGUACGAAGCCGC
rnacentral:misc_RNA from 1 species